CUUGAGUCGCCACCUGUGAAGUAAUUCCAGGCUCAUGCGACAGAAUAGGUCACAGAAAGAUGGAAAGACUUAACGGAGUUCAAACCUGAAUCUCCAAACAUCACCCUGCUUUCUGCUGCUCUGUCACCCAGCUAGCCUGGGAACGCCUUGGGAUCCUCCCGGAAGAGCUGGAGGAAGGGUCCGGGGAGAGGGAAGUCUGGGUGUCCCUGCUCAGACAGCUGCCCCUGUGACCCGGCAAAGGAUAAGCGGACGAAAAUGGAUGGAUGGAUGGAUGGAUGGAUGGACGGAUCCGAGGUUUUGAAAACUGAAGUUCUUAACUGCUGACCAGGCAUUCAGUGUCAAAAGCACAGUAAAAAAACAUGGCGGCACUUGCUGCCUAACAGCAAGUGAGGCCCACUGCAAGUGGAAAUGGAGCAUUCAGCACAUCAGAGGACUCCCCGCCGGCAGCACAUUGUGGCAAGAUGACUUGACUGGGACUCCACCACCAGUGAUGAAGAACAAGAUGAGGAGCAGCUGUCAAAUGGAGCUGUACAGAAGGAGGUCUAGAUGUAUUUUGGAGAAGAGCCCCUGCCCAAGAAGAAUAAUCUGCUGGCAUGGUGGAAAGCAAAUCCACCACACUAUCCAACACUGGCGAGGCUGGCAAAGUCCCUGUUGUGUAUUCCGGCCACAUCCACACCAUCAGCGCAUUGGUUUUCAGCAGCAGGACUGGAACUAGGGGAGUGCUGUACCGGUGAGGCCAAGGUACUCAGAGAGGCAUGUAAGGAGAAUGGUGAGGGAGAUUGCGUCGAAGGCUGAGAGGUCCAGGAAGAUCAGAAUACUGAUGUGGCCAGAAUCUGCAGUGAUGAGAUGGUCGUUGGUGAUCUUGAUGAGGGCAGUUUCUGUGCUAUGGCGUGCCCUGAUACCAGACUGAAUGGGUUCAUAGAGCUCAUGGUUGUUGUUUUCAUUUUGUUGAAACAAAGUCUAUAUAUGGCAAGAUGGCAGGGCAUACUGGGGAGUUCACAAACACCAGGUGAUGAAGAAAACCCUGAUUCUCUACCACAGAGAUGAGCUCAGAUCGGGCCCAAAAGAUCAUGCCUGACCCGACCUGAGCCUGUU